GAUGAACGCUGGCGGCGUGCUUAACACAUGCAAGUCGAACGGUGAAGGCGGAGCUUGCUCUGCUGGAUCAGUGGCGAACGGGUGAGUAACACGUGAGCAAUCUGCCCCUGACUCUGGGAUAAGCGCUGGAAACGGCGUCUAAUACUGGAUACGAGCUGCGAAGGCAUCUUCGGCAGCUGGAAAGAAUUUCGGUCAGGGAUGAGCUCGCGGCCUAUCAGCUUGUUGGUGAGGUAAUGGCUCACCAAGGCGUCGACGGGUAGCCGGCCUGAGAGGGUGACCGGCCACACUGGGACUGAGACACGGCCCAGACUCCUACGGGAGGCAGCAGUGGGGAAUAUUGCACAAUGGGCGAAAGCCUGAUGCAGCAACGCCGCGUGAGGGACGACGGCCUUCGGGUUGUAAACCUCUUUUAGCAGGGAAGAAGCGAAAGUGACGGUACCUGCAGAAAAAGCGCCGGCUAACUACGUG
rnacentral:rRNA from 1 species